UCGUCAUGGCAGGAUCAACCUCGUGUGACCCCAUCAGCAUCAUCUACCUGAGUGUUGUUGAUCCUCCAGGUCAGACAGGAGGACACACAGAGGAUGGAGGGAAGGAGGAUGGAUCUGUUGGACUGAAAGUUGGUCUUCCAGUUGCUGUUAUUGUUGCUGCUGCUGUUGGAUUUGUUAUCUACAUUAAAUGCAAAUAAUGGGAUUGAUACUAUUCUGCAAACUGCCAAUUUGAUAAAACGUUUCAAACGUCUGUUAAGCUGAGCCAAAUCUCCUGCUGUUCUAGUUUCAAGUGUUGUCACUGAACACGUGGACAGAUGACAGGCAGCAGUUUAGAUCCUGAACUGAAGAUGUUUAACAAAAAUACUCCACUCUACUGCCUUUAGAAA